UACGGGGGGGGCAAGCGUUGUUCGGAAUUACUGGGCGUAAAGGGCUCGUAGGCGGCCAACUAAGUCAUACGUGAAAUCCCUCGGCUUAACCGGGGAACUGCGUCUGAUACUGGAUGGCUUGAGUUCGGGAGAGGGAUGCGGAACUCCAGGUGUAGCGGUGAAAUGCGUAGAUAUCUGGAGGAACACCGGUGGCGAAGGCGGCAUCCUGGACCGAUACUGACGCUGAGGAGCGAAAGCCAGGGGAGCAAACGGG
rnacentral:rRNA from 1 species